rnacentral:snoRNA from 1 species
UAAAAAAUGUGCACACAAGUCUUCUCUUAGGUAGUGGGGUUAGGAUUUGGUAACUGUUUCUUAGAGAAAACCCUUAAUUACAUCCUUGCUCUGAUACUGUACCAGUGGCAGCUGUCGCCAAGGGGAACAGAG